rnacentral:rRNA from 1 species
UGCAAGUCGAACGGGAGUAUUGAAGAAGCUUGCUUUAGAGAUACUUUAGUGGCGGACGGGUGAGUAACGCGUGAGGAGCUGUCCUAUGCAGGGGGACAACAGCUGGAAACGGCUGCUAAUACCCCAUAAGCCGAGAGGUAAAAGGAUCAAUCCGGCAGAGGAGGUACUCGCGUCCUAUCAGCUAGUAGGUGAGGUAACGGCUCACCUAGGCGAAGACGGGUAGCCGGCCUGAGAGGGUGGCCGGCCACACUGGGACUGAGAUACGGCCCAGACUCCUACGGGGGGCAGCAGUGGGGAAUCUUGCACAAUGGGCGAAAGCCUGAUGCAGCAACGCCGCGUGAGGGAAGAAGGUUUUCGGAUCGUAAACCUCUGUCCAGAGGGAAGAAGUAAGUGACGGUACCUUUGGGGGAAGCCCCGGCUAACUACGUGCCAGCAGCCGCGGUAAUACGUAGGGGGCAAGCGUUGUCCGGAAUUAUUGGGCGUAAAGGGCGCGUAGGCGGUGACACAAGUCAGGUGAUAAAGGCACGGGCUCAACCGGUGUUAGGCACUUGAAACUGUGUUGCUAGAGUGCAGGAGAGGGGAGUGGAAUUCCAGGUGUAGCGGUGAAAUGCGUAGAUAUCUGGAAGAACACCAGUGGCGAAGGCGGCUCUCUGGACUGUAACUGACGCUGAGGCGCGAAAGCUGGGGGAGCAAACAGGAUUAGAUACCCUGGUAGUCCCAGCCGUAAACGAUGAACACUAGGUGUAGGGGGUAUCGACCCCCCCUGUGCCGGAGCUAACGCAAUAAGUGUUCCGCCUGGGGAGUACGGCCGCAAGGUUGAAACUCAAAGGAAUUGACGG